rfam:Acyrthosiphon pisum strain LSR1 Contig17837, whole genome shotgun sequence.
CCGUGUUCUGGUCCUGACUCGGCUGACGCUGGAUUGGCGGGCGCCCGCUGGUCUGUCACAGACCACGGGA